rnacentral:rRNA from 1 species
CGGGUGAGUAACGCGUGAUAACCUGCCUCACACUGGGGGAUAACAGUUAGAAAUGACUGCUAAUACCGCAUGAGCGCACAGUACCGCAUGGUACGGUGUGAAAAACUCCGGUGGUGUGAGAUGGAUCCGCGUCUGAUUAGCCAGUUGGCGGGGUAACGGCCCACCAAAGCGACGAUCAGUAGCCGACCUGAGAGGGUGACCGGCCACAUUGGGACUGAGACACGGCCCAA